rnacentral:misc_RNA from 1 species
GAUGAAGAACGCAGCGAAAUGCGAUACUUGGUGUGAAUUGCAGAAUCCCGUGAACCAUCGAGUCUUUGAACGCAAGUUGCGCCUCAAGCCAUUAGGUUGAGGGCACGUCUGCCUGGGCGUCACAUAUCGUUGCCUGAUGCCAGUUUCCUCGUGAUGGGUGACUGUGCAGGGCGAAUGAUGGCUUCCCGUGAGCAUUGUUGCCUCAUGGUUGGUUGAAAAUUGAGUCCUUGGUAGGGAGCGCCGUGAUAGAUGGUGGUUGAGUGACGAACGAGACCCAAUCAUGUGAGACCCCUACCGUAUUUGGCCUUCAUGACCCACAUGCGUCUUUGGAACGCUCAUGACGAGACCUCAGGUCAGGCGGGGCUACCCGCUGAGUUUAAGCAUAUCAAUAAGCGGAGGA